UGGCUGUGCACCGUACUUUCAGAGGCUCUGAAGUUCAAGGCUUGUUAUUGAAAUCCAUUAGGAAGAUGGAAAAUCAGACUGAUGAUUAUUGCAUCGAUCUCAAAGCACCACUUAUCAAGAACAACUAACAACAACAAACAAUUGCGUGAGGGAUUCAUUUCAAUCUCAAACACUCAACGCUCAGGAACAACCAACAACAAACAAUUUGCGGACUCCUAUCCUAUCCAGGACACCCGGAUGGAUCCAGCACCAUUCCUGCUUCGUGUUGGACUCCACUGCUACACGUUGCAGAAUGAUGAUGACUAAAUGCAGUCGGUGCCAGCCAAACAUCACUUCAGUCUAUUAUGAUGGACUAUAGACUAACAAUUGCCAACAAAAGCCUUCAUCAGCCAAUUAUCAAGGACAAUUGCAUCUAUGUGAACUUCUGCAGUUAAUCCAGGAUGGACUUCAAAGACAUUGGUCAUUAAUCUUACAGUUCUAUAUCAAAAUCUAUAUUUAAACACUGACCCUUAACACUUACUUAGUUUAAUCAUUUUAAAUCAUGACUUUAACAAUACAUAAGUAAUAUUUACAUUAUAUUCAUAAUGUUAGCCAGCGGGGAACUGGCCCCCAAGGUGAGUCUGGUAUCUCCCAAGGUUAUUUUUCUCCAUUAAUCAACAUCUUAUGGAGUUUUGUGUUCCUUGCCACAGUCGCCUUCAGCUUGCUCACUGGGGUUAUUAAUACAAUUAUUAUUUAAUUACUUAUUUUUAAACACAAUUAACAUUUGUAUUUUAUCUAAUUACAUGUUGAUGAUUCAUCGACAUUAUAGACAUUACAGUUUUAUCAUCUGUUAAUGCCUGAUUUUCUGUAAAGCUGCUUUGAAACGAAGUGUGUUAUGAA